CUGACACCAAACUAGAGCAAUGCCCAAAAACAAUAUUUUGAGUUGGCGAGGGCCGGCGAAGAGAGAAACUGCCAAAUGUCAAAGGACCUCAGAUGUCGGCUCAUCCGAAACACCAUGACCAGUAUGAUCGCAAUCCUGAGGGCAACGGGGGACAGAGACAGAUACCCGUCAAAGCCAGAAAUAACAGCUAUGGCAAAGCGAACAGUGCUGUACUACCCCAUGCUGCAGGACCGAGACCUGAGCAGCAAGUAUGCAUGGGUUACUGUGUACUCACAGCUAUACAAAAGAUUGAAAAAUUUGAGAUCACCCCAAAAGACCAAUCCAAAGAGGCGCCGACUCGAGGAGCCAAAGUGCCAACCUGACUGACCCAGAUGAAUUUGAUUCAAGUGACUCAACAGUCAUUCUGAUCUCCCCUCAAAAGGGGGGCAGCAUUCAAGCAUUCAAGACUUCCCUUCUGAAGGGAGUAGCACCCCAGACUCGGGCAGCAAUGCCAGAUAUGCCCGCAUCUUUGCGUAAGAAGAAAACUCCAAACCGUGAGUCCGUCUCUCAGCUCCUGGAUUUGGAAUUUUCAGCCAGAAGAGCAUUCAUUGACUCUGAUUCUUUUUGCGAGGAGGACAGACACAAGAAAAUUCCAGAGGACAUUGGACAUGUGAUGGGGGAGCUUCAACGCAUUCUGGACAAAAAUAACAUCCAUUACAUUGAUGAGCUGAAGGGAAGAUGGGACGACUUCUGCCAGAAGGUGCAGUUUUUUGGUGUGUGGAAAAAGCUGCUGAAACCCUCAGUAGGAAUGGACAAAGGCUCUCAGUAUCCUACGUGUGCUGCCUUCAUUGUUCCCCUCUUCAUCUGCUCCUCUGAAGAAGUUAGGACAUGUGAGUGAGGCUCUUGUGCAUGUCCUCGAGGAAAAAGAAGACCCCAAUGACUAUCUGAAGAAACGUCGUCUCUCCUGCCCAGUCCUUAUUGUGAGUUUGUCCAACUGCCUCCUGGCUGUAGGAGAUGUGCUGAUAACUACGCUCCCAAAAGACAAGGUAACACAGGGUGUUUUAUACCUUACGGCCUACUAUUAUGCUCUACACCUUACUUACCCCAGGUGCGUAGCCACUCUGCUCUCUGUCAUAAAAACGGAGGUUCUCUUGGACACAAUCCAUGAGCGAGACCUCACACCAUCUUUCAAGAAGGGCAUGGCUGACUGGAAAGCCUUUGUUGGCAAGUAAAGCCGUUUCCAUUCUUAUUUAGCAAAUGUUUCCCAAUGUUAAGGUCGCAAUAAUAACAAUGUUGUUGAUCUAUUGAGGGACACAGUGGUCAAAUAUUUAUGUUAAUGUUAGCCCAAGACCCAUAACUUGUUGCAAUAAUAAGCACAUUGUAAGUGUAUUGAGGAGACAGAGGUCAGAUGAUUAUGUCUGACUGUAAUCCAUGUGUUACACAUAUAUGUCAUGUUUUGCUAUGUUUUUUUACUAUUAUUAGUAUUUUAUUACAGUGCCAUACACACUGCGCCAAAACAUGACUGGUGCUGCAGGCACAGUGUAACUGACUAACUGCACUGUAUUGUAAGAAUUGUUUGCUCCCUCCUGCAUUUCAGAGCUAAAGAGGCAUGCUCUUUCUUAUGCAAAUAAAAUAUUUGUUUGUUUAAUGCAGUAUGCGUUUGUCUUAAAUUUAGAACAGUAUCACUAUUGUAGAGCUAACAUUAAGUUAAAAGCACUUGAAUUGAGAUUAGUUAUGAUACAAAAGCACUUCUUAUGAGUAAAACAAUGCAUAAUAUGAGUAUUUCCAGCUAACUUCAAGACAUUUUUUAUCCUAAAAUGCUUAAAUAAUCACUUUUUAAUCUUAUUUCAAGUUGGUGGUGGUCUAAAAUCUAGGACAAUGUCACUAUUUUAGAACUUUAAAUGAGUUAAAUACACUUGAAAUAAGAGGGAUGCCAUGAACAGUGAAAAAAUAAAAAGCUACUUUUGAGCAUUUCAAGCUUAUUAUGAUACACAACACUUUCUAAUACUAGUAAAAUAUAGCUCAAAAUAAGUUUACCUGGCUAAUUUCAAGAUCAAUUCCUA
ensembl:lncRNA